CCUACGGGUGGCAGCAGUGAGGAAUCUUGGUCAAUGGGCGCUAGCCUGAACCAGCCAAGUAGCGUGAAGGAUGACUGCCCUAGGGGUUGUAAACUUCUGUUAUAUGGGAAUAAAGUGCAGUAUGUAUACUGCUUUGCAUGUACCUUAUGAAUAAGGAUCGGCUAACUCCGUGCCAGCAGCCGCGGUAAUACGGAGGAUCCGAGCGUUAUCCGGAUUUAUUGGGUUUAAAGGGAGCGUAGGUGGGUUGUUAAGUCAGUGGUGAAAGUUUGCGGCUAAACCCGGGCCGGCCGUUGAAACUGGGGAUCGUGAGUGGGCGAGAAGUAUGCGGAAUGCGUGGUGUAGCGGUGAAAUGCAGAGAUAUCACGCAGAACUCCGAUUGCGAAGGCAGCAUACCGGCGCCCGACUGACGCUGAGGCACGAAAGCGUGGGGAUCGAACAGGAUUAGAUACCCGAGUAGUC
rnacentral:rRNA from 1 species